GAAUCUAGCGGAGACGCUGGAGUGCCUUCGGGAACUCUGAGACAGGUGCUGCAUGGCUGUCGUCAGCUCGUGUUGUGAAAUGUUGGGUUAAGUCCCGCAACGAGCGCAACCCUUAUCCUUGUUUGCCAGCGAGUAAUGUCGGGAACUCCAGGGAGACUGCCGGUGAUAAACCGGAGGAAGGUGGGGACGACGUCAAGUCAUCAUGGCCCUUACGAGUAGGGCUACACACGUGCUACAAUGGCGCAUACAGAGGGCGGCCAACUUGCGAAAGUGAGCGAAUCCCAAAAAGUGCGUCGUAGUCCGGAUUGGAGUCUGCAACUCGACUCCAUGAAGUCGGAAUCGCUAGUAAUCGUGGAUCAGAAUGCCACGGUGAAUACGUUCCCGGGCCUUGUACACACCGCCCGUCACACCAUGGGAGUGGGCUGCAAAAGAAGUGGGUAGUUUAACCUUCGGGAGGACGCUCACCACUUUGUGGUUCAUGACUGGGGUGAAGUCGUAACAAGGUAGCGCUAGGGGAACCUGGCGCUGGAUCACCUCCUUAUACGAUGAU
rnacentral:rRNA from 1 species